UUCAUGUUCAUGUUUUUCUCUUCUGACUCUCCUUUCUCCCAAAGGGGAGUGAACCUCUACCAUCCUUUCAUGCAAUGGCGUUUCUUACUUGAUAAUUGUUUUCUGCUUUUCCCACCUCCAUUUCAGCCUAUUUUCUCUCCUCAGUAAUGCAAGUACAGGUGAAAAAAAUAUGUGAGCAGCAGAAUUUAUUAGAAUGUAUUGAGCACCAGGAGACACUAAUUAUAAAGCUUCAAUACAAGACUGACACCAUCUGGCUACUACAAGAGUUUGCAGGACUUACAACGUUUGUGUGAAAUACUCCUUCUAUACCUGGAAAACGACAGUAUUUUGAGAUCCAGUUCCAAGUGGCAAUCCCCAGUGAGCAGUCAGCACCACCUGUGUGCACCCCAUGGAAGCUGGAAAAGCAGAGGGCCUCUCAGCAGCAGACACCCUCCUGCUGCUCCUCCAUCACUGCUCUCAGGGCAGGUGCAGCUUUUUUUAUAUCUGCAGGGUGAACCUCUAGCUUUUGUAGUGUCUUCCCAGGAGCACACAAGAAAAUGAAGAAAGAAGCCAGAGUGUUCUUUGAGAAACUGCAACACUUCUCCCAGUAAAUCACCGGAGUUUUCAGCCAAUGCACUUGAACAAUGUACCAAAGUCAGUGAAAUUGUUCAUGCUCUUAAACUGAAAUGAUUGUAUAAGCACCUCUGAACAUCAGCUUGAAAAACAAAUUUAACUAAAUGCGACCUAUUAUUUACCCAAUUCCUGUACUGAGCUUGGAUUCACAACCUAUGAACUUGAUUCCCUACAUCAGGAAACAAAAAUAGGAUAAUGAUCAAAAUUACACUGCAGUUGAAUAUGAGAUGACAAGAAGUAAUUUCUCACUUCUCUAACUGCUUUUCCCCAGAUACUUGCAGCUGACUUAUUUGCAUUUAUUUGGAGCAGAAUUGCUUUUUCUUUGCACUUUCCCAGAAAGGAGUAACACUGACUGCUUUCUGGAGCUCAGUGAGUCAGAAUGAGUCAGACCACAAGGAGAGAGAAGGGUCCCUGGCACAGAAGUCUCUGCAGAGGGUUUGAGGAAGAAGGGAAUUUCAAACCAUACAUGGAGCUCCCUUCGUGGAGCUUUUGCCAGGAUGCCACAACUGCAGCACAUUUCCCCAACCAGAUCAGAGCAAGGGGAAAUGGGAUCCUUGCUGACUGAUAAGGUGAAAAAUUGUGCUUCUGAGGAAGGAGUAGAGUUAUGCAAUAAACAAUAAAGAAUAUGAUCCAAAGAAAUCAUCAUUGCAAUUAUACAGAGAAACACUUCAAAGAUAUUACAAGCAGAUGGAGAAAUAGGAUUUUCAAAAGUACUAUGUUUCCUUAAUAAGAACUCCAUCUGGGAUUUAAAGUUUCCAGCUUUUUCUGGUUUCCAUAGAAAACUAUUUGCGUAUCUGAGCAUAAUAUAGAUUAUUACCGUGUGUCUGCCAAUUUACUAAAGGAGUGCUCAAAUUCUACCCAGAAAAGGAAUUUUCAUUCUUCACAUGGCGUGUUAAGUUCAAAUUUGUGUGUUCAAAUCAAAAAGAGAUUAAUUUUUUUUUCCUUCCUUGCAAUCCUGAAAACUGCAUACAAGGGUAAAUAAGCAGGAAAGAAUUGUGAAAUCUCAAAUAUACUUCCCUUCCUAAUAAAUGGUCUAGGUUCCCAAAUACAUCUUGGAAAACAGCCAUCAGCAGAACUACAAGCCAAAGCUAUGUGAAUAUCUGUUUGUAUCGUUUGGUUGCCAAAAAGUGAUCAAAUAAUGAAAUAAAAACUACUUUGACCUAAAAUGAACUUUUCCUAAUUCCUUGGGAAAAACAGACAAAUCAGUGAAAAUUAUUUGAGGACAACAAUAAAACCCCUUUUUUAAACUUUAUGUUUUCUUCACAUACUGAACCUACUACAAAUGUUUGCAUUUGUUGGUAUGGGAUUUUUUUUUCUGAAAAUGAGGUAACUACUUUUUAAUCAGGUUACCAGAUUAAAUACAAAUGC